GUCAGGAAUCUGUGAGUGGCUUGCUGGGGUCCUCAGGCUCAGGCUCUCUCACAGACUGCAAUCAAGGUGUCCGGCUGCUGUCAUCUCAAGGUUUGAUGGGGAAGGAUCCACUUCCAGCCUCACUCACAUGGUUGUUGUUGACAGAAUCUAGUUCCUCACAGGGCUAGGGAGGGGACCCAGUCCCGGUGCCUGAGCUGCGCAAGAGGAAACGUGUGUGUGGGAAUGGGACAGAGGGGACGGGGUUGGCUCACUUGACACAGAAAGAACAUUUGGGGCAUGGCCCCUGGGUGUGUUCACUCCUCAAGGACAAUCCUGAUUUCCUGGUUUUUGUUUUUUUAAUAAAGGCAAUUUGUUAAGUGUAUAAUGAACUGUGUUUUCCAUUUGUCAUUCCUUUAUAAGACACCUCAUAAAUUUACACACCAGGAAAAUCCUUGGUGGGACCUGUUGAUAAUAAAGACAUCGUUAUUUACAAAAGAACGAAGGUGAGGACCUUCUAGACCUCCCUUUUUCAUUUUCUUGGUCUCUGAAUGUUGUGUUUGUGUUACCAAUAUAACGAUCUGUGGCUGUAUUUUAUUUGCACAUCUAACAACUGAUUGUUAAGCUUCCGCUAUCUGGCAGGCAUUGGGUGGGGUUUCUCUGAGUCAAGAGUGAGGAAAAAAAGAGGGGGAGCUCGUGGACAGGUAGGACAGGCGGCAGCCAGGAUCCAGGCUGUGCACGGGGAACAUUGAAGAACGCUGCCACGGCCCCGAAGAAGAAGUGGAGCCACGGGGAGAGGAACGGGGAAUUUAGAGGAAGUGGGGCCCGAGGGCAGCGGAGCAGAGCCGCUAGCUCAAAAAGCGCAGUGCUGAAGUCACACUGAUGUCACUGCAGAAGCCCAGAGGAGCUAAGGAGAGGUGAGAUGUUGGGGGAUUCCCUAGGGCAGCUGGAGUGGGCCCCUGGCCUUUUGUCCGGUUGGUGGGGAGGAAAGCAUUGGAAAGUAUAACUUCCAGAAUAUUUCCUUCUUGCUCAGGACAGAAAGCCAUCUCUGGGGCCAGGCGCGGUGGCUCACGACUGUAAUUUUAGCACUUUGGGAGGCUGAGGCGGGUGGAUCACGAGGUCAGGAGUUCAAGACCAGCCUGGCCAACAUGCUGAAACCCCGUCUCUACUCAAAAUAUAAAAAUUAGCCGGGCAUGGUGGCAGGCGCCUGUAAUCCCAGCUACUCGGGAGGCUGAGGCAGGAGAAUGGCUUGAAUCUGGGAGGCAGAGGUUGUGGUGAGCCGAUCAUACUACUGUACUCCAGCCUGGGAGACAGAGUGAGACUCCGCCGCAAAAAAAAAAAAAAAAAAAAAAAAAAAAAAAAAAAAAAAAAGAAGAAAUUUUUGCUAAGUGAAUAAGGGAAGCAGAUGCUUCUUGAUCGGUAGAGAAAGCUCCCUCUAGGAGCCUGCACAGAGCCCAGUAUCUCUGGCAAAGAAUAAAUUGUUCGGAGAGGGCUCUCUUUAGUGUAGGGGAAAGUAGCCCCUUUGCCCCGGGAGAAAACUGUGACAAGACCUUGGCGUUUCAAGGGCUUGAAGAAACUGCUCACCCACUGAGGGGGCAAGCAAGUCACAAGUGUGUGUAUACCUGGUGGUGAGAGUGAGGUCUGCGAGGUGGUCCUCCCCAUCCUGUCCUGCUCCUUACCUGCCAUUCCAAGACCAGCCUCCACCCCAGAAGCAGAUUUUCCCAUGACUUGAGGGCUACAGCCUGGGCAGAGAUUUGGCUCAGGGCCCUGGACUCCACCCCUCGACCUCCUUAAGUGGCCCUUUACAUGUCUGGGCAGGGGAGACAAAUCAGCGCCCCAAGCCUGAGCACCCGUGCCAGGCCUGGGGAGAUCCUCAGCCACCUGGCACCGGGCGUGGGGCUUGGGCCCUGGCAGUACCAGGUUCCCUUGUCCCCAUCACUGUAGCCUCUCGCCUAUGAGUCCAGGUAGGGUCUGGCCAGUGCGGCUCAGUGUGGCUUGACCCACAGUGCCCAGUGGAUGGUGCAGACACUAGUGUCAGAGGAAGAAAGGAAAGCAACCAUUAUUACUCAUUUGCUAUGUGCUCAGCCCUGCUCCAGGUCUCUUACACAUUUUAAUAUAAUCCUUAGAACAACUAAAUAGGUUGGAAUUAUCUUCAUUUUAUAGAUGCAGAGAAUAAGGCAGUGACCUGAGGUCACUCUAGAAAGGAGCAGCGUCAGGAUUCAAAUGAAGGUGUGCCUGCCCUCCAGAACCCAUGCUUUUCCAUUGAACCCUAUAGCUGUCCAGGAAGGCAUGGUCCCCAGGGAUCCCAGGAACCCUCAGGUACCUCCCUGAGAAGCAGGGCCCCAGACAGGCCUCCAAGAAACAGGGAGGAUGAGACAACUCCAGAGAAGAAGGCAGAACCCUCGCUGGUGAGGACCCUUGGGAGCAAAGACAGGGACAGAAGGAGGAGACUUAGCAAGGGGCCAGCAGGGUGCAGACUCGCAGAAAAAGGAAAGGGAGAAGAUUCAAAAGGGCAAAUUGAGGCAAGAGGUGACAGAUUUAGACCAGGUCUAGGGAGAUCAUGGAGGAAGCCCGGGGCAGCUGGAGGCACCCCAGCAGGACUGGAUGACUUAGGGACCAAGGUUGGAGCAGAGGGCAGGAGUCACACAUAUAAAUGCUCCUGGGAGCUGGGCAGGUCACGUCAAUGGGCAGGUGAGCUGAGGGUGGAGCACAGACAGAGCUGAGCAAGAGACAAGCAGGACGUGGGAGUUGGAGCGGGGUUGGGAGCCCUCAGACAAUAACCAGAGGCUGGGACACAGGCGCCCAGUCUUUCCCAGGCAGCUGGGUGGGCAGCGGGCACACCAGACAAUCAUGGGUCCUGGACCCACACCUCAGAUCCCCUCUUAGUGACUGUGCAAGCUUUCCCAUCCUCGUUAGCCUCUCCAAGUUUUCUCUACAGAUGGACACCCUCGGCAUCGCCUUAAAACACGUAUUCAUUAACCACACUAAAAAGCAGUCUUUUCCCCAUUCCAGGGCCAGUCUGCACAAUCGUUAGGUUCUAACAUAAGCUUCAUUUCCAGGCCAGCACACCCUCCGGGUCACAAUACAUUAGUCAUUUGCCAUUCAGAAUUGGCACCCAUUGUGUGCCAGCACUGUCUUUUAGCUCCUUCUCCCAUGUUUCAGGCUGGUGGGAACUGGCACCCACCGUGUGCCAGCACCCUGUCUUCUAGCUCCUGCUCCCGUGUUUCAGGUUGGUGGGAAGUUUUCAAGUUUCAAGUGUCUGGGGGAAAGUUUAUACCUCAUUUGGGUGUUCCCGAGCAGGAAUACCCUCAGCGGUAACUGGCACAGAGUGAGCUAUUGCUUCCUGUGGGCCAUGGUGAUUGGACUGUCUCCCACCUAGCCAGGAAGUGCCUCCAGGCAGGAGCCGACUCUUCUAGAGGCCUGAGACAGGCCUGCUCCUUUGCAUAAGAACUUGUCCAGGAUGCUUUAGCUUUGGGCUGGGGUGGGGUGGGUGGUGCGUCAUUCAGGAAGACAGGUGGAUUUUUUUAAAGCAAUAAAAUAGUACUAUUAUUUGUAAACUUUGUUCAGACACUAUCCUAGCAUUUCAUGUGUGUUGGUUAACAGGCAGAAAUUUAAUUACCUGCAUUAUCUCUCUAUAUAUUUAGUAAAUCAUUUGCGUGUUAGGUAUUUGUCCACAAGCACUCAUUUUAGUUACCAGGGAUCUUGGAGAACAUAGUAUUCGCACAUUUUGAGGGACUCGAAGGUGUAUAUCACUAUCCCUGACUUUAGGGACCUUAUAGUUGGUUCAGGAAGACAAGAAGAGCAUGUUAAAAAGCUCAGAGGAGCCAGGUGCGGAGGCUCAACUGUAAUCCCAGCACUUUGGGAGGCCAAGGUGGGCCCAAGAGUUUGAGACAAGCCCCUUGCUUGAGCUCAGCCUGGGCAAUAUGGCAAAACCCUGUCUCUAUUUAAAAAAAGAAAAAAAGAAAAAAAGAAAAAAAAAAAGGCUGGGUGCAGUCGCUCAGGCCUGUAAUCCUAGCACUUUGGGAGGCCGAGGCAGGUAGACCACGAGGUCAGGAGUUCGAGACCGGCCUGGCCAAUAUGGUGAAACCCCAUCUCUACUAAAAAUACAAAAAUUAGCUGGGCAUGGUGACGCACACCUGUAGUCCCAGCUACUCGGGAGGCUGAGGCAGAAGAAUCGUUAAAACCCAGGAGGCAGAGGUUGCAGUGAGCCAAGAUCAUGCCACUGCACUCCAGCCUGGGCUGGAUCUCAAAAAAAUCCAGCUGUUAGCGUCCUGAUUUUGGACUCCAUCUUAAACAAAAAAAAGAAAAGAAAAGAAAAAAAAGCUAGCCAGGCAUGGCGGCAUUUGCUUACAGUCCCAGCUAUUAAUACUUGGGAGGCUGAGAUGGGAAGAUUGCUUGAGUCCGGGAAGUCAAGGCUGCAGUGAGCCAUGAUCACGCCAUUGCACUUGAGCCUGGGUGACAGAGCAAGAUGCUGUCUCAAAAAACAAAAACAAAAACAAAAAAAAAACAACUCUUGGGUUCAAGGCCCCGUGUGACUGGGCGGGGUGGGUACUAACUUCACAACUCUGCCUAUGUUGAAGGGGCUUCUCUCUACUCUGCCUCAGUUCCUUGUUUCUCUAAAACUUCUCCUUUCCUACUUAUAGCCCCAGGCCAUCCUGGACAGUCAUUGGCAGGCCCACCAUCACUAUGGGGUGGCCCAGUGUCACAUCUGCCAGGAAUACCAGCACUUGAGAAUUACCUAUGCAAAUUUUGCACUGACCAGUGGUGAACAAAAUAAUGUAACCCACAUGUAGAUUGGGGGUGUGGGGCUUUUGCCACUGGAGUUCCCCCGGCCUUGAAUGAUGGGAGCAGAGGCAGUGACAGCAGACAUUGGAAGCAGCUGGCCGGGGCCUAGGGGACCGUCUCUGACUCGGCAGUGAGGUCCCUCUCUGCAUCUUCUGUCCUAAAACUGUGGCUUUGCACAGAAGCCACAAGGUAAAAGGGGAUGGAAUAAUUGUAAGUGUGGACAUUUUCCCACAAAUCUGUGCUCCCCAGAAAUUCAGUUGUCUUUUCUUUUUUUGAGAUGGC
rnacentral:lncRNA from 1 species